AUUUAGAAGUGAUUGUGUAAACAAGUCAGAAACAUAUUUAGCUCAAAUCUAUAAGAAUAGAUUAGUUUUAUCUCCUUUAAAAAGCAGAUAUAUGUUUACUUUCAGUCCAGUAAAAUGUAAAUGAAUGUGUACAGAACAGCAGCUGGUUUAGAUAGGAGUUUGAACCAAAAAACAAUGUAAUGUGUUAAUGUGUGGAUAUUAAUAAACUUAUAGUCUUUUUGCACAGAUUGACACCGCAAUAGAUAAUAAAUAAUAAACAAAAAUGAAUAAAUACCACGCUCGGCUCUUACCACUUCCGGGGGCGGGGCUUUCACAUGAGCAAAUCCACUGACAACGUUUUAGAAAGUGCUAAUAAAGUAAAAUAAGAAAGCUGUUUUAUGAACUUCUGUUUAAAAACUGUUUAAAGAAUAAAGCAACACAAGCAAGAAAAAUAAAUUAUAAUAAACGCACAUUUACUAUGACCUGAACUCUGUAUCUUGUGCACAAUUCAACAGUAUAUAUAACUAUAUAACAUAGUAGACAAAAUUCAUCUUUUUCUGUAAUCCCUGAAAUUAUAGCUUACAUCCCCAAGUCUGACCUUCAGGGCCACUUUUGACAGCUUUAUUUCCAUGUGCCUCAACUGACUGAAUAAUAAUAAUCUGUGAAACUGUAGCAGGUCUGUAGAGUCUCUGUAGGUUUGCUUGUAUUGUGACCCUAAAGUGAAUAUAGGGUGACUGAAUGGAGACUGAAGGUGACUGUAGAGUGACUGUAGAGUGACUGUAGGGUGACUGUAAGGUAGAGUGACUGUAGAGUGACCGUAGGUUGAUUGUAGAGUGACUGUAAGGUAGAAAGACUGUAGAGUGACUGGGUGAAUGUAGAGUGACUGUAGGGUGAUUGUAGAGUGAUUGUAGGGUGACUGUAAGGUAGAGUGACUGUAGAGUGACCGUAGGUUGAUUGUAGAGUGACUGUAAGGUAGAAAGACUGUAGAGUGACUGGGUGACUGUAGAGUGACUGUAGGGUGAUUGUAGAGUGAUUGUAGGGUGACUGUAAGGUAUAGUGACUGUAGAGUGACUGUAAGGUAGAAUGACUGUAAGUGACUGUUGAGUGACAACAGGGGGACUGUAGAUUGACUGUAGAGUGACUGUAGAAUGAUUGUAGAGUGUCAACAGGGUGACUGUAGAGUGAUUGUAGAGUGACUGUGAGGUAGAGUGACUGUAGAGUGUGUUGUGUACUUGGAGACUCUAUGACGCAUUUAGUAAAGGAUGACACACACACACACACGGACUAAACGAGACUGUUCUUUACUCACAUGUGCAGAGAGAGAAAAACCAGAACAUGAACAACCGGAAACACACGCAAAAGUGCAUUCUGGGAAAUGUAGUUAAUUAACAGCAUUAACAACAAACACAACAGAGUGACUGUAAGUCGACUGUAGGGUGACUGUACAGUGAUUGUACAGUGACUGUAGAGUGACUAUAGGGUGACUGUAGAGUGACUGUAAGGUAGAGAGACUGUAGAGUGACAACAGGGUGACUGUAAAGUGACAACAGGGUGACUGUAGAGUGACUGUAAGGUAGAGUGACAACAGGGUGACUGUAGAGUGACUGUAAGGUAGAGUGACUGUAGGGUGACUGUAAGGUAGAUUGACUGUAGCAUGACUGUAGGGUGAUUAUAAGGUACAGUGUCUGUAGAGUGACUCUAGGGUGACUGUAGAGUGACUGUAAGGUAGAGUGACUGGUAGGGUGACUGUAGAGUGACUGUAGAGUGACAUUAGGGUGACUGUAGAGUGACUGUAGGGUGACAACAGGGUGACUGUAGGGUGACUGUAGAGUGACUGUAGGAUGACUGUAGAGUGACCGUAGUGUGAUUAUAGAGUGACUGUAGGGUGAUUGUAGAGUGACUGUAGGAUGACUGUAAGGCAGAGUGACUGUACAGUGACUGUAGGGUGACUGUAAGCAGAGCAACUCCUGUAGAGUGCAUGCGGAAAUGAACGCAUGUUCACACGCGGCACGGUUAUCGAGCUGCCAUUUAUAAACACCGUUGCCCUUGGGCGUUUAUUCAUGCGAAUGUUCACUUUACAGCGAGGCAGGGGGAGGCGGGCGUAAUGUGUGGGGCCGUACGCAACUUGCGUAGUGAGCGUAUAGGGCCGAUCGGCUAGGAAUGUAAGGUAGAGUGACUGUGACCGAAAACUCAACCCUGGGGAAGCCAAUUACGAUGUUAGAAACUGGGAACUACUAUCUAUUAAGGAAAUCCUGAGCAUAGAAGGAAUUAGUUACCUGUAGGCCUCCUGGAACCACUGGCAAUAACACAACACCCUUGGACCCACAUCUUAGUGGAUUUCAACACUGACCUCACCUGUUCCCAUGGCUGUGGAUCGAUUCUCUAAAGCCUGCAAACUUAUUCCCCACUGCCAUGGAGAGGGCCGCAGCCUUAUUCAACCACAGAUUCCAUUCUUAUGGCAUCCGUAUUAACAUUGCCUCAGACAGGGGAGCCCAGUUCACAUAAACCAAGCAUUGCGUUAGUUCUGGCAGGCCACGUUGUCAAGCGUGCAUCAGCUGUUAAUCAGCUGUCCACGACGCGCGCCAAUCCGGUUACGACAUCCAUAUUACCCGACCAUUUAAAUUCCCAUUCAUAGAGCCGUCCUAGUGCUUCGCUGCUACCGCAAUCUAAACUCCCUCCUCCAACCCCAACUCCACUAUGCCUCAACCCGUGUUCGCUGUACCAGUUUAUGUCUUAAAUCUCCACAUAUUUCUCUCUCUCUCUCCCUCUCUCUCUAAUUAUUCAAUUAUCUAUCUAUCCAUUCAUUUAUUAGUUUCCAAAAACAUAUAAGCGAGCAUAUCAAUACUAUGCAUGCUAGUGGUUCUGUUAUACGGGGGGUCUAUUCUAUUUUCUAGUCGUUGCUCUCCGCGCUUUGGCUAUCCACACAACACCUGAAAACUGCUUUGCUGCAAACUCAACCCUAGAUACAUCAGACCUGAACUGUACUAAGCACAGUACACACACAUGCACACAUGCACAAUGAACUUAAUGGACUGCAAUGACUUCCAAUAUACAUCAAUGUCUACAGCACCACCAUAUCAAACUGUUUACAUGCUGUUUUUACACACUGUUUUUGGUCUUUGCACAUGCUGUCUUUCACAUUUCAGUUGAUUGAUGUUUUGCACAAUACAUAUAAUAUCUCAUGUAACUGCUGCUGUAAUACUAUUGUUCUGUUAUAAAAGCCCAAACUCCUGACCACCAGAGGGAACCCUCACUGGAGAUCUGAACCCUCCGGUCCACAAAGAUUCACUUAUGGUUUCUACUACUGGUUUUAAGGACAUUUAAACCAUGUUCUUGCCACAACACAACGCAAAGUAUUAUCAGUUUAUCUGUGUGCCGAGCCUUUGUUAUUUCUUUGACCUUAGUUUUGACCUUAGCAUCUGUACUUUAGAUUAUGUACUGUCUUUGCCCCUUUUAGAUUUGUUUCCACAAACAUAGUCCACAAAGGACUUUACAAAGCAUCUAUGGAAGAGUUACAAUUUCUAAUAGUUUAGCAAUUGUAACUCUUCCAUAGAUGUUGCUUUGUUAUAAUUGCAGACACUAAUGCAAAAAAAUGUGAAAAGGGUGAUAUGGUCUGAUGAAUCAUCAUUUACAUUAUUCCCAACAAUUGUGUUACUACCAGUAAGUAAUUGUAGUAAAAUGUUGUUUCCAAACAAUGCCAUUUUUAAGACGAUGAUUUUCACAUACACACAGCCAAAACAGUCCAGUCCUGGUGUGAUCUUGGCAUGAUCUUCAAUAUUUGCCAUGUCAGCUCACUCACCUAACUUGAAUAACCAAUAUGGGGAAUUUUGGGGGGAAGAGUUACAGAUUUAUCUGUACAUACAGAACAGGUUUCCUGCUCCAACCACUCUGAAGCAAUUUGAAGAUAUUCAGCUAGAUGAACGGUACAAAUGUCCACUAAGGCUCUUUUCCAAGAAGAUUAAGGAAAGGAAUUCCAGAAAGGAAACUAUUUAUAUUCACACUCUCUGCUGUCACCCAGAUUAGGAUGGGUUCCUUUUUGAGUAGGGUACCCCUUAAGGUUUCUUUCUUAUGUCAUCUCUGGGAGUUUAUCCUUGCUACUGUUGCCUCUACAUCUGGCUCAUUAAGGGAUAAAAACAUUAAGAUUAAAUUUAAUUAUUGUUUUGAAUUUACAUUGUUAAAACACUAUACCAUUAAACCAAAAUUGAAUUGAA